rnacentral:rRNA from 1 species
AACGAACGCUGGCGGCAUGCCUAACACAUGCAAGUCGAACGAGACCUUCGGGUCUCGUGGCGCACGGGUUCGUAACGCGUGGGAACCUGCCCUUAGGUUCGGAAUAACUCCCCGAAAGGGGUGCUAAUACCGGAUAAUAUCUUCGGUCCAAAGCUUGAUCGCCUUUGGGUGUGCCCGCGUUGGAUUAGCUAGUUGCUAGGGUAAAGGCCUACCAGGCGGAGGUCCAUAGCUGGUCUUAGAGGAUGAUCGGGCACACUGGGACUGAGACACGGGCCCGACUCCUACGGGAGGCAGCAGGGGGGAAUAUUGGACAAUGGGCGAGAGCCUGAGCCAGCAAUGCCGCGUGGGUGAUGAAGGCCUUAGGGUUGUAAAGCUCUUGUACCCGGGAUGAUAAUGACAGUACCGGGAGAAUAAGCUCCGGCUAACUCCGUG